rnacentral:rRNA from 1 species
UUCUUUUUCACCGGAGCUUGCUCCACCGGAAAAAGAAGAGUGGCGAACGGGUGAGUAACACGUGGGUAACCUGCCCAUCAGAAGGGGAUAACACUUGGAAACAGGUGCUAAUACCGUAUAACAAUCGAAACCGCAUGGUUUUGAUUUGAAAGGCGCUUUCGGGUGUCGCUGAUGGAUGGACCCGCGGUGCAUUAGCUAGUUGGUGAGGUAACGGCUCACCAAGGCCACGAUGCAUAGCCGACCUGAGAGGGUGAUCGGCCACAUUGGGACUGAGACACGGCCCAAACUCCUACGGGAGGCAGCAGUAGGGAAUCUUCGGCAAUGGACGAAAGUCUGACCGAGCAACGCCGCGUGAGUGAAGAAGGUUUUCGGAUCGUAAAACUCUGUUGUUAGAGAAGAACAAGGAUGAGAGUAACUGUUCAUCCCUUGACGGUAUCUAACCAGAAAGCCACGGCUAACUACGUGCCAGCAGCCGCGGUAAUACGUAGGUGGCAAGCGUUGUCCGGAUUUAUUGGGCGUAAAGCGAGCGCAGGCGGUUUCUUAAGUCUGAUGUGAAAGCCCCCGGCUCAACCGGGGAGGGUCAUUGGAAACUGGGAGACUUGAGUGCAGAAGAGGAGAGUGGAAUUCCAUGUGUAGCGGUGAAAUGCGUAGAUAUAUGGAGGAACACCAGUGGCGAAGGCGGCUCUCUGGUCUGUAACUGACGCUGAGGCUCGAAAGCGUGGGGAGCAAACAGGAUUAGAUACCCUGGUAGUCCACGCCGUAAACGAUGAGUGCUAAGUGUUGGAGGGUUUCCGCCCUUCAGUGCUGCAGCUAACGCAUUAAGCACUCCGCCUGGGGAGUACGACCGCAAGGUUGAAACUCAAAGGAAUUGACGGGGGCCCGCACAAGCGGUGGAGCAUGUGGUUUAAUUCGAAGCAACGCGAAGAACCUUACCAGGUCUUGACAUCCUUUGACCACUCUAGAGAUAGAGCUUCCCCUUCGGGGGCAAAGUGACAGGUGGUGCAUGGUUGUCGUCAGCUCGUGUCGUGAGAUGUUGGGUUAAGUCCCGCAACGAGCGCAACCCUUAUUGUUAGUUGCCAUCAUUUAGUUGGGCACUCUAGCAAGACUGCCGGUGACAAACCGGAGGAAGGUGGGGAUGACGUCAAAUCAUCAUGCCCCUUAUGACCUGGGCUACACACGUGCUACAAUGGGAAGUACAACGAGUCGCGAAGUCGCGAGGCUAAGCUAAUCUCUUAAAGCUUCUCUCAGUUCGGAUUGUAGGCUGCAACUCGCCUACAUGAAGCCGGAAUCGCUAGUAAUCGCGGAUCAGCACGCCGCGGUGAAUACGUUCCCGGGCCUUGUACACACCGCCCGUCACACCACGAGAGUUUGUAACACCCGAAGUCGGUGAGGUAACCUUUGAGCC